rnacentral:rRNA from 1 species
UACGUAGGGGGCAAGCGGUUGUCCGGAUUUAUUGGGCGUAAAGAGCGUGUAGGCGGCUAGAUAGGUCCGUUGUGAAAACUCGAGGCUCAACCUCGAGACGUCGAUGGAAACCAUCUGGCUAGAGUCCGGAAGAGGAGAGUGGAAUUCCUGGUGUAGCGGUGAAAUGCGCAGAUAUCAGGAAGAACACCCGUGGCGAAGGCGGCUCUCUGGUACGUGACUGACGCUGAGACGCGAAAGCGUGGGGAGCAAACAGG